GAAUGCUGACAUAAGUAACGAUAAAGCGGGUGAAAAGCCCGCUCGCCGGAAGACCAAGGGUUCCUGUCCAACGUUAAUCGGGGCAGGGUGAGUCGACCCCUAAGGCGAGGCCGAAAGGCGUAGUCGAUGGGAAACAGGUUAAUAUUCCUGUACUUGGUGUUACUGCGAAGGGGGGACGGAGAAGGCUAUGUUGGCCGGGCGACGGUUGUCCCGGUUUAAGCGUGUAGGCUGGUUUUCCAGGCAAAUCCGGAAAAUCAAGGCUGAGGCGUGAUGACGAGGCACUACGGUGCUGAAGCGACAAAUGCCCUGCUUCCAGGAAAAGCCUCUAAGCAUCAGGUAACAUCAAAUCGUACCCCAAACCGACACAGGUGGUCAGGUAGAGAAUACCAAGGCGCUUGAGAGAACUCGGGUGAAGGAACUAGGCAAAAUGGUGCCGUAACUUCGGGAGAAGGCACGCUGAUAUGUAGGUGAAGCGACUUGCUCGUGGAGCUGAAAUCAGUCGAAGAUACCAGCUGGCUGCAACUGUUUAUUAAAAACACAGCACUGUGCAAACACGAAAGUGGACGUAUACGGUGUGACGCCUGCCCGGUGCCGGAAGGUUAAUUGAUGGGGUUAGCGGUAACGCGAAGCUCUUGAUCGAAGCCCCGGUAAACGGCGGCCGUAACUAUAACGGUCCUAAGGUAGCGAAAUUCCUUGUCGGGUAAGUUCCGACCUGCACGAAUGGCGUAAUGAUGGCCAGGCUGUCUCCACCCGAGACUCAGUGAAAUUGAACUCGCUGUGAAGAUGCAGUGUACCCGCGGCAAGACGGAAAGACCCCGUGAACCUUUACUAUAGCUUGACACUGAACAUUGAGCCUUGAUGUGUAGGAUAGGUGGGAGGCUUUGAAGUGUGGACGCCAGUCUGCAUGGAGCCGACCUUGAAAUACCACCCUUUAAUGUUUGAUGUUCUAACGUGGGCCCCUUACCGGGGUUGCGGACAGUGUCUGGUGGGUAGUUUGACUGGGGCGGUCUCCUCCUAAAGAGUAACGGAGGAGCACGAAGGUUGGCUAAUCCUGGUCGGACAUCAGGAGGUUAGUGCAAUGGCAUAAGCCAGCUUGACUGCGAGCGUGACGGCGCGAGCAGGUGCGAAAGCAGGUCAUAGUGAUCCGGUGGUUCUGAAUGGAAGGGCCAUCGCUCAACGGAUAAAAGGUACUCCGGGGAUAACAGGCUGAUACCGCCCAAGAGUUCAUAUCGACGGCGGUGUUUGGCACCUCGAUGUCGGCUCAUCACAUCCUGGGGCUGAAGUAGGUCCCAAGGGUAUGGCUGUUCGCCAUUUAAAGUGGUACGCGAGCUGGGUUUAGAACGUCGUGAGACAGUUCGGUCCCUAUCUGCCGUGGGCGCUGGAGAACUGAGGGGGGCUGCUCCUAGUACGAGAGGACCGGAGUGGACGCAUCACUGGUGUUCGGGUUGUCAUGCCAAUGGCACUGCCCGGUAGCUAAAUGCGGAAGAGAUAAGUGCUGAAAGCAUCUAAGCACGAAACUUGCCCCGAGAUGAGUUCUCCCUGACUCCUUGAGAGUCCUGAAGGAACGUUGAAGACGACGACGUUGAUAGGCCGGGUGUGUAAGCGCAGCGAUGCGUUGAGCUAACCGGUACUAAUGAACCGUGAGGCUUAACCUUACAACGCCGAAG
rnacentral:rRNA from 6 species